AGAUGCCAAGCACCACCCAUCCGCACCUUCUUCUUACUAGAGUAGAACCCAGCUUCCUGAGGGCUACCUCGGGACACUAGCAAUGUGGUUACCAGGUAACAACACUGCUCUGCCAUUCAGCUCCCAGUCUGGCUCCAUAUAAAGAAGACCGGCCCUACUUUGACCUCAGAAGUAGCAUUCCCUCGCAAUGAAAGUUGGAUUUUGUAGAUGACAUCAAGUCUGGACAAAGGGAGUCUUCAGAAAGAGCUAGCCAAAAAAGGAAGCCAUAUUGUUCUUACUUGCCUUGGUCAGCUUCACGACCUGCUACCCGUUGGACGGAUGCCAUCUAGUGUCAAAAUGCGGUAAACCUGUUUGUGAGAGCUGUAUGUGGAGUACAGAACACAGGUCCUCCAGCCUCGCCAGCAGGGAAGAACAGAUGGAGAGAGACAAACACAAAUGUCACUGCAUGCUUACAUCUGGCCACCUCCAGGACUGCUCAGCACUUAAUGAGGAGCCCGUGAUCGGCUGGGGCCACAUAGACUCUUUCCUCUCUCUGCUCCUUCCUGGCUUCAGGGUUAUUGAAUUUCUUAUGUAAAUUUUGACUUUUCCUGGAGUCUCUAAUUGCCUUUUCUUUCCCCAUCCUAAAAACAGUUUAGUUUUUGGUUUAUUCCUGGAGACUAAAUAAACAAAAGAUAAAUAAAAGA
rnacentral:lncRNA from 1 species